CGUGUAGGCGGGUGCGUAAGUCUGAUGUGAAUGCCCUCGGCUCAACCGAGGAAUGCCAUUGGAAACUGCGUGUCUUGAGUGCGGGAGGGGAGAGUGGAACUCUUGGUGGAGCGGUGAAAUGCGUAGAUAUCAAGAGGAACGCCAGUGGCGAAAGCGACUCUCUGGCCCGUUACUGACGCUGAGGCGCGAAAGCUAGGGGAGCGAACAGGAUUAGAUACCCUGGUAGUCC
rnacentral:rRNA from 1 species